GACCCAUUGGUCAAGUGGUCAAGACACCACCCUCUCACGGUGGGAUCAGGGGUUCGAACCCCCUAUGGGUCACCA
rnacentral:tRNA from 1 species